rnacentral:rRNA from 1 species
UAAUACGUAGGGUGCGAGCGUUGUCCGGAAUUAUUGGGCGUAAAGAGCUUGUAGGCGGUUUGUCGCGUCUGCCGUGAAAAUCCGGGGCUCAACCCCGGACUUGCGGUGGGUACGGGCAGACUAGAGUGUGGUAGGGGAGACUGGAAUUCCUGGUGUAGCGGUGAAAUGCGCAGAUAUCAGGAGGAACACCGAUGGCGAAGGCAGGUCUCUGGGCCACUACUGACGCUGAGAAGCGAAAGCGUGGGGAGCGAACAGG